AUGCACCGACCAAAGACCUCCUGCCUCGCGCAGCUCCCCUGGCCCCCUUGCCUGCCUCCCAAAUCUCCCCUCUUUCACCCCCAAAGUUGUUUCUUCUUCCUCCCGCUGCGUCUCCUGCUUGCGCGCUGCGGCGACACCUCCUCCUCGUUGCCCCCGACGCCGGAGGAGGCACGGGGAAAGCAGCAGUGUCUCGCGCUGCGCUUGCGCCACCUCGGGUGUGCGUGGGCCUACGCGCCGGUCGCCGCCUCGGCCGUGCGCCAGUCCACAAAGGAGGAGGAAGGGGAUUCCGUUCGCCGCCAAGGCGUACUGGGUAUGCUCCUCGAGUCCCCGCUCUUCAGGCCCCUCCUCACCUCCCUCAUCAAGAAGCAGAACAACAUGACGCAGAUGCUGUAG
rnacentral:rRNA from 1 species